ACGCUCGACACCUACCGGAGGCAGCAGUUGGGAAUAUUGGACAAUGGAGGGAACUCUGAUCCAGUGACGCCGCGUGAAGGAAGAAGGUCUUCGGAUUGUAAACUUAUUUUAUCAGGGAAGAAAGAAAUGACAGUACCUGAAGAAGAAGGACCGGCUAACUACGUCGCGGCAGCCGCGGUAAUCUGAGCGGGCUGGCAAGGC
rnacentral:rRNA from 1 species